rnacentral:rRNA from 1 species
GAGAUGUGGGUAGUCCGCAGCGAGCGCACCUCACUUUUAGUUGCCAUCAUUAAGUUGGGCACUCUGAAAGAACUGCCAGUGAUAAGCUGGAGGAAGGUGGGGAUGACGUCAAGUCCUCAUGGCCCUUACGUGUUGGGCUACACACGUGCUACAAUGGUAUCUACAACAGGAAGCAAAACGGCAACGUUAAGCAAAUCCCGAAAAGAUACCUCAGUUCGGAUUGCACUCUGCAACUCGAGUGCAUGAAGCUGGAAUUACUAGUAAUCGUGGAUCAGCGUGCCACGGUGAAUGCGUUCCCGGGUCUUGUACACACCGCCCGUCACCAUGGGAGUUGGUUCUACCUUAAGGCAAGGCUUUAAACCCUUGACCACGGUAUAGUCAGCGACUGGGGUGAAGUCGUAACAAGGUAGCCGUAGGGGAACCUGCGGCUGGAUUACCUCCUUUCU